GGCACACCUGGGGUCACCCCAAAGGUCACGGCUGCUCCCCAGCCCCUCCCCCAUGCCCCAGGUGGCGCCAGGUGAGCUCAGGCACCGGCACAGGUGUGCCCGGGUAGCUCCAGGUGUGCCCAGGUUCCCCCCAGGUACCCCCAGGUGUGCCCAGGUACCCCCCGUGGGACCUCAGGUGACCCCUGGAGCUCCCAGGUGUGCCCGGGUACCCCCCAGGUGUGCCCUUAGGAGCACUCAGGUGUGCCCAGGUACCCCCAGGUGUGCCCAGGUGCCCCUGGGGCAAUCACAGCUCUAUCCCAGGAGCUCCCAGGUGUGCCCGGCUCUACCUGAGGUGCCCCCAGGUGUUCCCAGGUGUGUCCUGAACAGCACUCAGGUGUAUCCAGGUGCCCCGGGUGUGCCCAGGUCCACCUGAGGUGCCCCCAGGUGUAUCCCAGGUGUGUCCCAGAGGCCCCUGGGGUGCUCACAGAUGUAGCCCAGGUGCCCCCAGGUCUAUCUGAGGUGGCCCCAGGUCUACCCCAGGUGCCCCCA